rnacentral:rRNA from 1 species
UGCGUAGGCGGAUUAAUAAGUCAGUGGUGAAAUCUCUCGGCUCAACCGGGAAACGGCCAUUGAUACUGUUAAUCUUGAGUUCGGUUGAGGUAGGCGGAAUGUGUAAUGUAGCGGUGAAAUGCUUAGAUAUUACACAGAACACCAAUUGCGUAGGCAGCUUACUAGACCGACACUGACGCUGAGGCACGAAAGCGUGGGUAGCGAACAGGAUUAGAUACCCUGGUAGUCC